rnacentral:rRNA from 1 species
AUGUCCUCGCCUAGCAAGACUUUGAUGGGAGGGAAGAAAGCAAAGGUGGUGGAGGGGAAUGCUCGGCUGCUCUGCAGUGAUGCGCUCACCGAGGUCUUCCACAAGCUGCCUGCCCGCACGCUCGCUUCUUGCAGGAUGGUAUGCAAAUACUGGAUGUCAUUGCUUUCCGAUGUGCAUUUUCUUCACGAGCACCUGAACCGAAGCCAGCAGAAGUUGCUGCUCUUUGCAAAUGACAGAGCAAAUGAUAGGUCUCUUGCCAUGGUGCUCGCAGACGCCAAUGGAUACAUGUACCAGCUGUCUAGGCCCUUGGUUGCUCAGAGCCUGUUUGUGCACAACUCUUGCAACGGCCUGCUCUGCCUAGGUGACAGUAAAGGAGCAGUGGAGUUGCUCAACCCGACAACCGGUGAAUCUGUUGUGUUGCCGAAGCCAAUGUACACUGCAGGAAGCAGCCAAUUCUCAUCAUGCAACUGGCACUGCUUGGGGUUUUGCCCGUCAACUAAGCAACACAAAAUUGCGCACUUUUAUCCGGGAGCUCAUGCUGGUUCUCUCGAGGUGCUCUGCGAGAUAUACACAAUUGGAGAUAGAGACUGGAGACAAAUUGGGACUCUCCGUGGGGCACCAAUUGAUAGAGGUAUACAUGUGAAUGGUUCGGUGUAUUAUUUGACAAGGUUCCGUUAUAUCUCUUCAUCACGUAUCAAUUGUUUGAAUCUUCAAAGUGAAAAGUUUGAUGUCUUGAUGCUUCCUCCACGCAAGACCUAUGGAGGGCACUGUUCUUUGUCCGAGCUCGAGGGAAAACUAUGUUUAUUAGUUGUGGAUGGUGCGCUUGAAGGUAUACCUCGUACAAUGGACAUAUUAAUGCUCGAUAACGAUGAUAAGCAGAGUUGGACUCAUAGAUACCACAUAUCUUUGCCUCCGUUGAUGCAAUCAUGUUAUUUCACUCCAAGACACACACUUUUUCAUGAUUCCAAAAUUUGGGUGCAGUUGUUUGCUCGGAACUUAUAUUGCUAUGAUCCAAAUUCAAACUCUGGGGAAUUGGAGAUUGCCUGUCCAGAAUCUGAGUUUCCUUUCAGCAUUCAUACGUUUGUUGAAAGUAUAGUUCCUCUGCGUUAA